GGUUAAGCAGAAGGCCCAGGCAAGCAGUGGGUAACUGGUUAUAGGUGGUUAGAGGAGAUGCCACAGGGUGAGAAAAAGGCACAGAGAGAGUUGAGAGACCACCACUGCUUGUCCUACUUGAAAAUCUCACCCAGCCAAACAGAUACAAAUACCCCUCUAGAACUUACUAUUUCUACAGCUGUGAAAUAACUGCUGCUUAUCUUUCCUCCAGGAGAUUCCUUGGAAUGAAACCAAUGGGAGAUCAGGGUUUGGGAGAGUCUCAUCAGAGCAGAUGGGCCAGCAGCAGCCAGAAAGCUUGUUGCCUUUGGCUGAGAGCACCAUCCUGGAUCUGACGUCUUAUGGAAAAACUGAAGCCUAAGGAGAGGAAUGGACUUGCCAUGGACAUUUCAGGAGCCCAGAGGCAACUCGGGCCAAGGGACACCAAGAGCUCCCAUCUCUGCCUUUGGCCAGGCUGCUUCUCACUGGAUUCCUGACUAGGCCCUGCCCUAGCCCACCAAAGGUCCCUAUACUUGGGAAGGAGCACAGAUUUUUCUGAAACUGAA